GUUUUUAAGAAAGCUGACCCUGUGAUGAAGGGACAGAGCUGAGGAUGGGAAAUUGAAACUUUAAUCUGGUUUUCUGUUAUAAUUUUGAGUUGGACAUUUAUUCCUUCAGCUGGCAUAAACAUUUGUCUUGCAUAGGUCAGCUGUCAGUGAAUUAAGAUUUUCAGAUUUUAUCAGUGAUUUAUGAUACUGGUUCUGAUGAGUUUGUUAAUUGCAAGAUAACAGACUAUCCUGUAAACAGAGUAUCGCUUUGCAAAGCGUGUUGUUGGAAACAAAAAGCCAUACACUGAAGUACUGCACUGUGUGCUUUGCCAGAUCUACAUGCUAUAUCUUGAAAACCCAGGAGUUAGUUGCUGAGAAUUCAAGAUUCAUGAAAACAGAAAUAGAAAAAUUCUAGCUUUAUAUGCUGGUCCUUCCUAUAAAAUAUAAAUGUGUUUGAAAUCCCCAAAAGGAGUCCCAGAUCUGUUAGGCAGCACAGGCCUUGUUUUAUCUGUUUCCUUACUGUCUUCACUUUUCUCAUAUCUUUUUCUGAAUAGGAGAUAACUCAAACUCUUAGUAUGCUCUUCUUUGGAUGUUGGGGAUUUGGGUUUCAACCUCUUCAGACAGAGAAGGGAACUGAAUGAAGGAAUGGCACACUGGGGACAGGGACUCAGUGUGUGGCAAGUAGCAAGCUUCAAAAUGAAUAGGACUGUACCUCCACAGUUUAGGUACUUCAGGGCUAGGCUGCAGCUGGCUGCAGAAUUCCCACCUGUAAAUCCUGAAUGAUACAGGUUAAUGCAUCGUAUGAGGAAAUGGAGAUUUGUUGUUUGAUGGCUGUUUCUAGUCAGAGCUUGAAAGCCAUAUUCUCUAGAAAAAGUCUGAUACUGAAAGCAACCAAACUUGCCAUUGGAAAGUAAAGCCCAAAAAAUCUGAAAUUAUUUUUAUUUCCACCCUGUGAACAAUCUCAGAAAAAUCUCUGGCAGGAAAAGGUACAAAUAACUUGGCCUGCUGAUGCUGAGGAGUCAGAAAGGAGAAACUUGAUAAAGUGGAUGUACAGUCAGUUCAGGGAUUAUCUGUUCAAAGACAUAAAAUGGCUUAAAAAUCCUUAAGAAAGAAAUAUUUCUCCUAAAUAAACUUCUAUUUGAUCUCUUUGUGCUAUUAGUAUGAUCUGAAGAUGUUCAGACUCCACCUGAUCCCUCUUUUGACACCACCUGUCCCGAUGUGAGGAACAGAACUCAGAAUCUUAUGUGUGGUCUGAUUUCCCAUAGCUAAAAGGAGUGUUUAUGAAGAAGUGUCAUCAUUAACUCCCAGCUGGCAAUGACUUCUUGGAAAGGUGUUCUUAAUAAUUCAACCCAUUUUGACAUUUCAGUGAGUGCACCAAAAAAAGUUGCCUUUCCAAAAAAUUGUAUUUAUUCAAAGCUGUUCCAGUGUGCAGCCUGACAUCCUUGCAGAUACUCAUGGAUAGAGAUUUCACAUCCUUAUGUGCCUGUAUCACAUUAAAGGAAAAACACAGAGAAUUUUUUCUUUUAUUGCCAGUGUGCUUUAGACAGGUUACAGACUGUCCCUGAAGCAUGUAAUUGAAAAACCACACAUCAAACAUGAUUAGAUUUUCAUUCUGCAUCUAAGCUCCUGCAGAGUAUUAAGUUAACCUGUGGUGAUGUUGCCAUAGGGUAAGUUUUGACUAUUCCAAAAAUGAAGAGUCAUGUUUCAGGAAUGCAGUAAAAUCGAUAUAAGUCUGGUUUGUAAGCCUGCUUCUUCUUGUGAUGGAUAGCAAAAGGUGUUCUAAGUGUCAUCCCCAAACUGGCAUGCAGUGAACAUACUCUCUUCUAAUCUAGUGAGAUAAACCUUUCACAGUGUGGGAUGUUCUGGCUACAAGGAGCUUAAUUGUACUUUGCAUCUGGACGUCAACAGGGAGAGCACUGCAUGAUUUUGUUCCAUACUUUCUUGUCUCAUCUCUGCUUCUUUCCAGUUUCUCCUUGUCUCUGUGGGGAUCUCAGAGAGGCAAUUCUAAAGACUCUGGGGAAGACAAGGCUGUCUCACGAUGCAUCUCGGUGAUGGUUAACUGGCACAUAGAUAUUGAUGGAUAGAUUUUUUUUUUUCCCUUUUUGGGGUGCUGAACACUUUGGGUUUGGCUGGUAUUUUUCCCAGUUUUCACAGCUAGCCUCAGAGCAUUUUUUGUUUGCAGAAGAGCUUUGUGAUCCAGUUUGAAGGCUGUAGUUUUCAGAGGGAUACAGAUAUCUGAUGUACUGAAACCAAAUGUAGCCCAAAUGAUUUACCCUCAAUGUCUGCGAACACUGCAAAAUGUCCCUGUCUGCCCCAGUUUAUCUGAACAUAUGUUCUUGUAGUGAUUUAUCAGAAGCUGUUAAUACAUGUCUUGCUUAAGAAGCUGUCCUACAUGAAAAAAAUUAAACAAAAAACUUUUGGUGCAAGUCCAAACAUAUCUCAUUCUGUGUGAGGGUGCUCAGUCACAGUGGCUAACAAGGCAUCAGCCACAUCCAGACAACUGUGAAAGAAUAUUCCUGUCCAAGGCAGAUGGAAAACACUUUUAUAGAAAGGCUGAAUGGUUUUGGAAAUGCUCUUUAAGCACCAAUCAUUAAAUUCUGUCUUUUUUUUAAUAAGCGUAGCCUUUAGCAAUUCUUGAUUUCAUCACAUCAAUUUUUCAUUGUCAGAUUUGAGGGCCAAUUGCUUCGAUUUUUGCCAGAGAUGACCAUGUAAUUCAGAAAUGAUGGAGAAAGCAAUCAUGAAAUUACACAGGGCAUGAGCUGAAGAUCUCAAAUGAGUUUUCAAAGACCAUUUAAUCUUGGCCUAGUAUCACAAGGGAAAAGUCAGACUUUCUGAAAACAAUUCCCCUUUAUCAAGGAGCAUGUAUGGACUGGGUUUGGGUGCAAUGGGAAAAAUGUAGUCAGGCAAGACUGACUGACUAAAGGCGCCUACAGCAACUAACAGUUUAUCUCACAGCUGGGUUCUCCCCAAAGAAUCAAAGGUGAUGCUGCACUGCUUCUAGACAAAUUGAUACAUGACUGAAUCUAAAUACUGAAACUGCAUCAGGCUGAACCAGUGGUGUAAUGGAGAAACACACACAUUACUUUGCUGGGAGUUUAUCCUACCAAAGAUGAUAAGCAGUGACCAAAACCACUGUUCAGAGGACGUCUGGUUGAACCAAGAGAGAGGAUGUGCUGCUUAGGCCAAGCCAGUGCUAUGGAUGAAGUACUGCACUUCACGUAUAACCAAGAAAUAGAGGUACGUUUAUCAAUGUAAAAUAGUGAUUUAACAAAGUUCGAUCAUAAAUGCAACAAUGUUUUAACAAGAUUCAGUGACAAGGUACACUUGAUUUUCACUGCAUAGAAAACAGGGUCAAGCAAAAUUGUUGUAGGGAGACCCUGCUUGCCACUGAGUCAUGCAGUUCAGGAAGGACCCUCUUGCAUUCAAAACUCCUUUCUGAGGGGAGUCUAGGUGCAGCUGGAUCCAGGCUUAGUCCCAGACUCACUCAAUGGCUUCUGUCUAAAGGAUUACAUGCGCACAGUCCAUCCUUUGUAUUACUUAGCAAAUGUUUCAAAGUUUAGCAUGCCAUUAAUCACUUGCUGUUGUGGCAAGGAUUCUUCCAACCUCAAGGAUUAACCUUGAGCAGGGUCCUUACUCAGGGGGACAUCCUGGCAUGCAGCCCAAUGCCAUAAAGGAGAGCCCAAUAGGGCCUCAGCUGUCAACUAUUUAUGGAAUAAGACAAUUGACUUACAGUAGUAUUUGCAUACCAGAUGUAUCUUGGCACUUGCUCAACUAGCCUUCAGCUGCUGAGGAAGAUUUAUGGCCCUGAACUCCUGUGGCGUUGUCUGUAAGCCAGAUGCAGCCAUCAGGAACACUGCUGAAGGCUGCUGCUUGAGCAGGGAAAGGGCUGGGGGAGCACAGCCUCAGAGCCAGUUUUGCUUCUGUGCACAUCCUCAGCUGCUGGCAGCUGGAGAACUGAAAACAGCAGAGCACGUGCAUAGGUGGCACUCAAGUGAUUUGGAGGCAGACCACUCAGUUCUGUCACCACCCUGCAGGAGCUCUGCACUCUGUUGGAUCAUGUUCCGGGUGUUUCUAGUCAUGUAUGCAUAUAGUACAUAUCCAUUGUUAUAACAUUGGUAUAACAAUGGAUAUAUCCAUUGGUUAUAUCCACAUGGAUAUAUGUUAUAUCCAUUGGUAUUCAAGAGCAGUCUCAGUAAAUGAGGUUGCUGUAGAAGGACAGCCUCUCCAAGACUGAUACCUGCUGUGCCAUAAACAGCAGUAGCUGCUGCUUUGCAGCACUGGUUUCUCAUUACUCAACCUGGGCAGUUUAAUGCUGGUGUGCCCAGGAACCCCACAAAAGGAAAGGAGAGCUCUCUGAAAACCAACAAAUACAUCAGUGGAGAGGCAGUAUGAAGCACAAUUUCUAGAGAGAAACAGAGCAGCGGCUCCUUUACCCUGCGGAACUGGUAUCUACACUGGGUUUGCUUCACCAGGUGAUGAAGUCCCAGGUGUAACUGAUGUCUGCUUCCACUGCAGCGACUGCAUGGGUAACAGUCACUCCUCAGCAGAGCAACUACAAAAUACAGAAAAUAGCAACCCUCACGAAAGUAAGCCUGAAAGCAGCAAGGCAGUGAAAAAUCAAUUUCCCCCUUUUCCCCCCACAGCCGUUAGAUGGAACCUUUAAUCUCCAUGAACAAAAGGAGGAUGAAAUAGAUUUUGCUGAAAAUUGCUGGGGUUACAGUCUGCUGAGUCUGAAUUCACUAAGGGUUCAAAUGCUGAUAAAAUGUGACCACCACCCCUGAGUAAAAUAGGUGAUAAAAGGCAGGAUGAAAUGCUUCUGCCCAGACAAUAAUGGAAAUGGCAAGACAUGGAGGUUUUCAAAAGGUGAGAUAGUUCAAACCUGUCCUCAGACUCGUCUGAUCUUUGCUUAGGCUGUAGCAAUAACUUUCUUUUAAAAUGAACUGUUAUCAAGCACCUUUUCAAGCUGUUCAGGUUAGUUAAGAUGAAUAAAAUAAAAGAAAUACAAAAAAUCCUCGCACCAAGAUUUUAUUUUUUGUCAGUAACAGACAUUUGCCUCUUGUUAGCCAAAUGCAGAGAAAAACCCCAAACCAAACCCAAAAUCAAUUUAUAUGAUCCCUCAGCAGUAAGAUAGGAAGGGCUGCUAAUUAUGUGAAGGAAGUGUUCCAUGGAUGGGACAGUACCUAUUAAACUGGAAAGUAGCAUUUGUCUUAAAGAAAUAAUCACUACUUUUUUUUGUUCAGUACAUUCUUCUUUCUGCUGUGACAGAUGCCCUUACUGUAAUGACACCUCAGAGACAUGAACAGAAACACCCUUUGUUCCUAAUACUACUGGUUUUCUUAGCUGCUUCUUUGGCCCUACUAUGUCCUGCUUUUUCCAGACAGCGUUAUCCCCUUUUUACAGCUCCAAGGACCUUACCUGCAGAGCCAGCACAUUUCAGAGACUGCCUUUGGAGGAGGGUACAGUAGGCUUUGGUUAGCAACCCGGUGCUCCGUGGCGAUGGGCCCACAGGAGCCAGGAGUGCCACACCAUGGGAGCUGAGAUGCUGCCAGAGUAACCAACCAGUACGGAAGCAGGAGGCCACUGUUCAGGUGACUGGGAGCUCUGGAGAGUCAAUAUAUUCAAUUGGUGUGAGACCAUGAGACAGGAUGGCAAGGUAUAAUUUUCUUUGCUCUUGGAGAUGCUCCAGAAGCUGCUGCUGCAACACAUGGUUACUAUGUGGGUUCUUAAGCCUGAGGUCUAUUGUUAAACUUGCAUGAAAAACAUCUGUUAUCAAAAUGUAUGUUAUUCUUAACAGGGCAGCUGGAAUGCCACAGAUAUCCCUGAUUAAUGUUUCAAUCUUCCCUUGCAGUCACAGGAAGUCAUUUCAUCUUGCUUCAUCUGUCAUUGGUUAGAAGCCAGAAAACUUUACUUAAACAUUUUUGAAAAAUUUGAUUUUUUUAUACAAAGAGGCAUUUCUGACUAAAGAAAGAUCCCCAUUAAAAUGAGCAAGAGGUCCAAAUGUGAAAUAUACUUCAAAUCUGGCUCAGAACAAAAACUCUGUGGUUAACUAAAUGAGGAAAA